AGAUACUGUAGUGGUAACUUUUCUCAGAAAUGUAACAAACCAAUUCUCCAAUGUGACAUUUUAUUACAGGUUUACUACAUUUCUGAUAUUGAAAAAUAGAAUUUCUAUAGCAACAUACAAAAUCCAGAACU
rnacentral:pre_miRNA from 1 species